rnacentral:rRNA from 1 species
AGAGCGAACGCUGGCGGAAUGCUUAACACAUGCAAGUCGCACGGGCAGCAAUGUCAGUGGCGGACGGGUGAGUAUCGCGUAGGAAUAUGUCCGGAGGUGGGGGACAACCCUGGGAAACUGGGGCUAAUACCGCAUAUGAGCUGAGGCUCAAAGCAGUGAUGCGCCUUUGGAGUAGCCUGCGUCCGAUUAGCUUGUUGGUGGGGUAAAGGCCUACCAAGGCGACGAUCGGUAGCUGGUCUGAGAGGACGACCAGCCACACUGGGACUGAGACACGGCCCAGACUCCUACGGGAGGCAGCAGUGGGAAUAUUGGACAAUGGGCGCAAGCCUGAUCCAGCAAUUCCGCGUGGGUGAAGAAGGUCUUCGGAUUGUAAAGCCCUUUCGACGGGACGAUGAUGACGGUACCCGUAGAAGAGCCCGCUAACGUCGUGCCAGCAGCCGCGGU